UACGUAGGGCGCGAGCGUUGUCCGGAAUUAUUGGGCGUAAAGAGCUCGUAGGCGGCUUGUCACGUCGGGUGUGAAAGACCGGGGCUUAACUCCGGUUCUGCAUUCGAUACGGGCUAGCUAGAGUGUGGUAGGGGAGAUCGGAAUUCCUGGUGUAGCGGUGAAAUGCGCAGAUAUCAGGAGGAACACCGGUGGCGAAGGCGGAUCUCUGGGCCAUUACUGACGCUGAGGCGCGAAAGCGUGGGGAGCAAACAGG
rnacentral:rRNA from 1 species